GACGAACGCUGGCGGCGUGCUUAACACAUGCAAGUCGAACGGUGAAAGCGGAGCUUGCUCCGCUGGAUCAGUGGCGAACGGGUGAGUAACACGUGGGCAACCUGCCCCUCACUUCGGGAUAACUCCGGGAAACCGGGGCUAAUACCGGAUAUGACCUCCUUGGGCAUCCUUGGAGGUGGAAAGUUUUUCGGUGAGGGAUGGGCCCGCGGCCUAUCAGCUUGGUGGUGAGGUAGGGGCUCACCAAGGCGACGACGGGUAGCCGGCCUGAGAGGGCGACCGGCCACACUGGGACUGAGACACGGCCCAGACUCCUACGGGAGGCAGCAGUGGGGAAUAUUGCGCAAUGGGCGAAAGCCUGACGCAGCAACGCCGCGUGCGGGAUGACGGCCUUCGGGUUGUAAACCGCUUUCAGCAGGGAAGAAGCCGCAAGGUGACGGUACCUGCAGAAGAAGCACCAGCUAACUACGUGCCAGCAGCCGCCGUAA
rnacentral:rRNA from 1 species